AACGCACGAGACCUGCGGACCUGCGGAAGGAUCAUUAAUGAGAAGCUGCCCCUCGUGGGUAGGCCUCCCACCCUCUGUGAACUUACCUUUGUUGCUUUGGCAGGCCCGUCCUCUGGACCGCCGGCUUCGGCUGGCCCGUGCCUGCCAGAGGAUUCCAAACCCUGUCUGUCAGUGUUGUCUGAGUCUAUAUGAAAUCGUUAAAACUUUCAACAAUGGAUCUCUAGAUCGGAAGAGCACACG
rnacentral:misc_RNA from 1 species